rnacentral:rRNA from 1 species
CCUACGGGUGACAGCAGUGAGGAAUAUUGGUCAAUGGACGAGAGUCUGAACCAGCCAAGUAGCGUGAAGGAUGACUGCCCUAUGGGUUGUAAACUUCUUUUAUAUGGGAAUAAAACGUUCCACGUGUGUGAUUUUGUAUGUACCAUAUGAAUAAGGAUCGGCUAACUCCGUGCCAGCAGCCGCGGUAAUACGGAGGAUCCGAGCGUUAUCCGGAUUUAUUGGGUUUAAAGGGAGCGUAGGUGGAUUGUUAAGUCAGUUGUGAAAGUUUGCGGCUCAACCGUAAAAUUGCAGUUGAAACUGGCAGUCUUGAGUACAGUAGAGGUGUGCGGAAUUCGUGGUGUAGCGGUGAAAUGCUUAGAUAUCACGAAGAACUCCGAUUGCGAAGGCAGUUCACUGGACUGCAACUGACACUGAGGCUCGAAAGUGUGGGUAUCAAACAGGAUUAGAUACCCUAGUAGUC